GGGGGGGGGGGGGGGGGGGGGGGGGGGGGGGGGGGGGGGGGGGUGAGGGGGGGUUGGGGCGGGAUUCAGCGGCGGACGGGUGGGGAAUGGCUAGGGGUGUGCCUGGUAGUGGGGGAGAGGGUCCGGAAACGGGCGCUAAUCCCGCAUACGUCCUGAGGGAGGAAGUGGGGGAUCUUCGGACCUCCCGCUAUCAGAUGAGCCUAGGUCGGAUUAGCUAGCUGGUGGGGUAAAGGCCUACCAAGGCGACGAUCCGUAACUGGUCUGAGAGGAUGAUCAGUCACACUGGAACUGAGAAACGGUCCAGACUCCUACGGGAGGCAGCAGUGGGGAAUAUUGGACAAUGGGCGAAAGCCUGAUCCAGCCAUGCCGCGUGUGUGAAGAAGGUCUUCGGAUUGUAAAGCACUUUAAGUUGGGAGGAAGGGCAGUAAGUUAAUACCUUGCUGUUUUGACGUUACCAACAGAAUAAGCACCGGCUAACUUCGUG
rnacentral:rRNA from 1 species